rnacentral:lncRNA from 1 species
UUUGGUGUUGUGUGAAGCAUUUGAGGCAUCACACUUGGGGUGCUAGGCUCACAAGGUUUCAAGGAACACAAGCAACAACAAGGUAAGUUAUUCUAUCUAUGAUUCAAGUUAAAAUUGUUCCCCAUGUAUGCUAGAUAGGAAUAUAACCUUGGAAUUCAACUUUGCAUGAUAAUUAGACAAACAUAGAUCCAAGGUUAUUAGGGUUGCAUGUACACUUAGGAAGUGUUAGAAUGCUCAAAACCCAUCAGUGGUAUCAGAGCCUAGGCUUGUUUGUUUGUUAUUUGUGCUUAAAAGUUGAAGAAAGUCGAAAAUCUUGCUGUCUGACUGAUGGACUCGGCGAGUCCAUGGGGAGGACUCGUCGAGUUCAUGUGUAUCUUCAACCUACUCGGCGAGUAGGUUUAUGCACUCGGCGAGUAGGGUCGACAGAGUGCAGAAUUUCGACUUGAGUUGCUGGAAAUGGAUUAGAAUCAUUACCCUAAAAUGUUUUGGUACUUGAAAACUUAUUUUAGAAGGUGUAAUGUCUUUUCUAACUCAUUUACAACAACUAGUUAUCAAAAUUACAAAGAUUAAAUGUGAUUUUGAUUCUUGAAAGUGUUCAUAUUCAUAUUCUUGUUCUUAUGAUGUUUAGAUGAUCAUAGGAAUUAUUUGUAACCUAUGUGGUAGAUUAAUUCAUGAUCAUAAUGUGUUUUAAUGGAGUCCAUAACUUGUCCUCAAGUUAUGGAAAACCAAAAGUCUCUUGGAUUAAAAACCAUUAAAAGAACACAAGAGUUAGGAAAAAUGAAAAGUCCUCAUUUUAUUACUCUAUUAAACUCAUAAGUUACAAGAAAUGAAAAGUUUUGAAAGUUUACAAAACUUGCCCUCAAGUUUUGGAACAAGUAAAGUUAAGUUAAAACUUUAGUUCCAACCCCUAGAAUUUUAAAAGUUAAAAUUCAACCCUUAUACUUAUAUUAUUAUGAUUUAAUAAUUAUAUAUAUAUGUAUAAGAACAAAGUCGUCUUACCGCUAGUACGCCUCAUUCACGAAGCCGGUCUAUAAGGUGGGUAUAAGGUUGUUGCCUAUAAAAUGGUGACUUAAUGGGUGUCCACUCUCACCCACCGCUUGCUUGAUCGGUGGAGGGUCGUUAGCCGAACGGGUAAGACAAGGACUUAUUAAUUCUCAUUCAAAGUAUGAUGAAUAUUAUAAAGUAACUAAAUGUUUUAUUAAAUUCCCAAUCUUAGUUACUUUAGGAAAAAUGUGAAUAAGGUGCUAUUCCAUGAAAUUACACUUUACACUUUGAUUAAGUCGUUGGUGGAGCGUGUGUGGUUAACCGGCACACUAACUUGGACUUAACAAGGUAGGUAAAGGGUGACUUAGGGUUUAUUAUAGUAUCGAUGGAGCGUGUGUGGUUAACCGGCACAUCGAUUGAGUGAUAAACUUUAAGGGUACCAAGUGAUUUGCAUGGUUACUUCACACCUCGUUUUGUGAUCCUCGGUAUCCCAGUCACAAAACUUGGAGGGCACACUCGAGAUUGAAACAUGCCUUUGAAAAGUUCAUUGAAUCUCAAAGAAUCUAGGAAUUUCUAAGAACCAUUCAAAAACCUAAUACUAAAAUAUUGCGGUUUUCGUGGUGGAAAUUGGUGAAUCGUCAUUCACCUACCUUUCAAAUAUGAUAUAGCUUAGAUUACGGCAUACCUCUUCUAAGUUAUAUUAUAUUGUGAUUGGAUCCUAGCCUUAAUAUUACAUUUGGGUGUUUUAUUAAGGACUCUCUUAUAUCUAAACUAAUCUUGUCCUCUUUCCUUCAGAUGUCUUUCAACAAUGCUUCUGGCUCUAAUCCUAAUGGCUCCUUUACCCUUAUGAACUUGUGUGGGAAAGUCACCUUUGAUGGAUCCAACUUCAAUGAGUGGAUCAGAAACAUCAGGAUGAUUACCCGCUACGAGGACAAAGAAUAUGUCCUUGACAAGGAGCUUAAGGAGAUUGAUGAGUCCACUGCAACUCCUCAGGAGAUCGCUGAAUUUCGGGCACAUGAAAGGGAUGCUACGAAAGUGGCUUGCAUCAUGAUGGCCACGAUGACAGCGGAACUCCAAAAGUCUUAUGAGGAUUUCUACCCUUAUGAAAUGCACCAAGAUUUGAUGGAAAGAUACCAUCAAAGUGCAAGACAAGAGAGGUAUGAAAUCAUCUGCUCCAUGAUAACAACCAUGAUGAAGGACGGGGAAUCCGUCACGAGCCACAUGCAGAAAAUGCAAAGGUAUGUGGAUCGUUUGCUGAAGCUUAAUGUGAACUUCCCGGAGGAUCUUGCAAUAGAUAUUAUUUUGCAUUCCUUACCAUCGUGCUAUGAUCAAUUCCGCAUGACAUAUCACAUGAACAAGGAAGAAGUCACCCUCAGCAAACUUCAGGGACUUCUCAAGACCGCAGAAUCAGGUCUUAAGGGGAAGUCGGUUGCUAUCACUCCUACUCAAAACUCUACUCCGGUUUUGGCAAUCGGGAAAAGUCGAGGGAGGAAGAGAAAGAGCUCUUCUAAGGGUACCAAGGUUCGGACCCUUGAUGGCUCUUCUUCAAGUGGAACCAAGAAAGGUUUCAUUACUCCUUCUUCUGACCCAAAAGAGGCUGAAUGCUUCUAUUGCCAUGAAAAAGCUCAUUGGAAGCGGAACUGCCCAAAAUACCAGCAAGAUGUGAAGGAUGGGAAAGUUAAACCCAACCAUGCAGGUAUUUACACUAUCAUUUCUAAUAACUCACCCCAUUCUAAUUCUUGGGUCCUUGAUACCGGGUGUGGUAUUCACAUUUGUUGUGACUUGCAGGGACUAAGAAGAAGUGAGGAUGUGGAGCAAGGAAGGAUAAACUUGAUCAUGGGGAAUAGGAAAGCUAUACCUGUUACCAAGAUUGGAGUUUAUACUUUAUCGCUAAGUAGUGGGUUUAGUUUAGAUUUGAAUAAGUGUUGUUAUUCGCCAGGAAUGGCAAGAAAUAUUAUUUCCUUUCAUGCUUUGUACAAACAAGGGUUUACCUUUUCAUUUAAUAAUGAAGUUGGUUCUAUAGAUGUUUUCUAUAAUAAUGUCUUUUAUUUUAAAGCAUUACCUUGUGAUGGUGUGUAUGAAGCUGUAUCUGUUGUAGAUAACUUGGGAAAUAAUGUUUUGUGUAUUGAUUCUACUAAUAAUAACUUGGAUAAAGCAUCUUUAUGGCAUUGUCGUCUUGGACAUAUAAGCAAGAAACGCAUAGGCCAACUCCAAAAGGAUGGAGUCUUGGAGUCGUUUGACCUAAAGUCAGAUGAUAGUUGCGAAUCAUGCUUACUUGGAAAAAUGACAAAGUCACCCUUCACAGGUUCGUGUGAGAGGGGUGAAGGUUUGUUGGACCUUAUACACACGGAUGUGUGUGGACCAUUCAAACAUGCCACAAGGGAUGCUAAUCGUUAUUAUUUGACUUUUACUGAUGAUUAUAGUAGAUAUGGAUAUGUCUACUUGAUCAAGCAUAAGUCAGAGACUUUCGAGAGGUUUAAGGAAUUUAAACAGGAAGUCGAGAAUCAAUUGGGCAGGAACAUUAAGAUGCUUCGAUCCGAUCGUGGUGGUGAGUAUCUUAGUUCAGAGUUCCUCGACUAUCUAAGGGAAUGUGGGAUAGUCUCACAAUUGACACCUCCCAGGACACCACAGUUGAAUGGUGUGGCUGAGAGGCGUAAUCGAACCUUGUUAGAUAUGGUUCGUUCCAUGAUGAGUCGAGCUACGCUACCAAUCUCAUUCUGGGGGUAUGCCUUAGAGACUGCCGCCCAUAUUCUUAAUCUAGUCCCUACAAAGAAAGUUGCCAAAACUCCUCACGAGAUGUGGACUGGUAAAGUACCUAAACUAGACCACAUCAAGAUUUGGGGUUGCGAGGCUUUCGUGAGACGCGAGACUCAUGAUAAGCUCGAACCUCGAAGCGAGAGGUGUAUUUUCAUCGGUUACCCACAGCGAUCCUUUGGUUACCUCUUCUACAGACCUAGUGACAAUGUGGUCUUUGUAGCAAGAAGAGGAGUCUUUCGAGAAAGAGAGUUUAUAAGCCAAGGAGACAGUGGGAGGCAAAUUGAUCUUGAAGAAAUUCAAGAAUCAAGCGGUGAAGGAACUUCAAACUCUAGCCCUCAACUUGAGGAGGAAACUCCUGUUGAGCCAAUUGACAAAUCUGUACCUCUGAGACGUUCCACGAGAGUUAGGAGUGCACCUGAGCAUUACUAUGGAUUCCAUAUUACUGCAGAAGGUGAGACACUUAUUAGUGAUGAGACACUAGUAAGUCAAGAUGACCCUAACAGCUACGAGGAAGCCAUGGCAGGCCCCGAGUCUGCUAAAUGGAAAGAGGCUAUGGAUAGCGAGAUACAAUCCAUGUAUGACAAUCAAGUUUGGAACUUGGUUGAAAAUGUACCAGGUCGUAAGACAGUAGGGUGCAAAUGGGUCUUCAAGAAGAAGACCGACAUGGAUGGUAAAGUACACACUUAUAAGGCUAGACUGGUUGCAAAGGGCUUCUCUCAAAUUCCUGGAGUGGAUUAUGAUGAGACCUUUUCUCCGGUAGCCAAGAUUAAGUCUAUUCGGGUUCUGUUAGCCAUAGCUGCAUUUCAUGACUAUGAAAUAUGGCAGAUGGAUGUCAAAACCGCUUUCCUUAAUGGAAAGUUGGCUGAAGAUGUUUACAUGAGUCAGCCAGAGGGUUUUGUCAGCAACGAGUACCCUAAUAGAGUGUGUAAGCUUGAGAAAUCCAUUUAUGGAUUGAAGCAAGCACCUCGCAGAUGGAAUCUUUGCUUUGAUGAAAAGGUCAAGGAAUUUGGCUUUUCUAGGAGUGAAGAUGAAUCUUGUGUGUAUGUCAAGGCUAGUGGGAGUAUAGUUAGCUUUUUGGUAUUGUAUGUGGAUGACAUACUACUCAUAGGAAACGACAUUCCAACCCUGCAGGAAGUAAAGUCCUGGCUUGGGAAGUGUUUCGCUAUGAAGGACCUUGGUGAAGCUGCCUAUAUUCUAGGGAUAAGAAUCUUGAGAGAUCGGAGUAAAAGACUAAUUGGACUUAGUCAGAGUACCUACUUGGAUAAGGUGCUGAAGAGAUUCAGCAUGCAGGAUUCCAAGAAAGGAGAGUUACCCAUCCAGAGUAACACCAGAUUGAGUAAGACACAAAGCCCUAGCACUGAGGCUGAGAUAGCAGAAAUGAGUCGAACACCUUACGCUUCGGCUGUAGGAUCGAUCAUGUAUGCUAUGACGUGUACUCGACCCGAUGUAGCUUUUGCCUUGAGCAUGGUUAGCAGGUAUCAGGCGAACCCUGGCAAGGCACACUGGACUGCGGUAAAGAAUAUCCUCAAGUACCUACGGAGGACUAAGGACUGGGUCCUUACCCUCGGUGGGAGUGAUGACUUGAGAGUUGUAGGGUAUAGUGAUGCUAGCUUCCAGACUGAUAGGGAUAAUUUCCGCUCUCAGUCGGGCUGGGUCUUUACCCUAAACGGAGGAGCAAUUUCUUGGAAGAGUUCCAAGCAAGAGACAGUGGCAGAUUCUACUUGUGAAUCAGAGUAUAUUGCAGCUAGCGAAGCAGCAAAGGAGGCGAUAUGGCUGAAGAACUUCAUUGGAGACCUUGGAGUUGUACCAGCUAUUAAAGAGCCAAUGGAAAUUUUCUGUGAUAGUGAAAGUGCUGUUGCCUUAGCCAAGGAACCAAGGGAUCAUGGGAGAUCCAGACACAUCGACAGAAAAUACCAUUUCAUUAGACAUCGGAUCGAAGAAGGACUCCUCGUGGCAAAGAGGGUAUCAUCGGAUGAGAACCCAGCAGAUCCCCUCACGAAGGGACUGAGUAGGGUUAAGCAUCUCCAGCAUGCUCGGAGCAUAGGGCUGAAGGAUGAUAUAAGUUUUAGUAGUUAGAUAACCCAGAAAUUUGUAAAGUGUAAUUGACAUUUGAUGAUGAAUAAAAGGUGUUUUAUUUAUGAGUAAAGUGUUGCUAUCUCUUGUCAAUCGUUUACUAUAUUUCUUUUGCAUGUUUUGACUUCCAGAAUAAUUUUGUUUGGUGUAACAUAUUAUUCAAACCUCCACAGUCGGUCAUAUGUCGGAAGUAGGUAUGAAUCAAGACUGUCAUGAUGGGUUGUAGAGGUCUAAGGUGUUGGACAAGGCUACAACAAUCAUGAGUGCUCAUAAGUUCUGAGCAUUGGACUCAACCCACGCUCACUGGAAUCACUUCAUGGAAUUCUAUCUCGAGUGAUCGUGAGACGGUAAUAUCAUAUAAGUCUUCAAACCUAGAGAUAUGAUUUGUUACUUACAAGUUGGUUAUGCAUUGACUGUACGAAACCGCAUUGGUAACUCGAUGUUAUAAAACGUACUUUUGUGUGUAAUUCAAUGAGUGGUAGAACAAACAUAUGAGUCGAAGUUUAUCUGUUCCUUCUUGGAUUAGAAGCUGAUAUCUGGGCCCCUCGAUGAUUUUGUUUUGACCCAUGUACCGGGCCCGGUCAGAACUAAGUUGAUGUGUUCAAUUAAGUUCUAUGUCAAACAAAUCGGAAAUCGGGAAACAAAUGCUGGACAAUAAGCAAGACAAUGUUCCAUGUAUUUGUCCGGCUGAUAUCUAGAACGGAGGAUUAUAUGAUCACUUAUCUUAAAUGGCGUACCAUCAUCUUCUCAGUUCCGAGAGACCUUGAAAGAGCUACGAUUGCCGGUCGGUUCCUGAAGUACUAGAGAUAUAGUUAUUAGACUUAUCCAAGUGGGAGACUGUUGGAUAAGGUGUCUAAGUCCAUAACUAUUUCGGGCUUGUACUUGACCCGACCCGGCAUGGUCCAUUUGGGUUGCAUGGCACCAUGCAAUUGGAUAGACUAAAUGAGAGAAAUAACACUUGGAGAUUAUUAAUAUAUUAUAAGUUCUAAUAUAUUAAUAAUAUUAUUUGAUUAGUUUGAUCAAAGAAUUAAUUUGGAAUUAAUUAAGUGAUCAAAGGAUAACUAAUUAAAUAUAUGGGUUGAUUAUGUAAAUCAUUCAUAUCUUGUAUAGUGGGCUAAGAGGCUCCAUGGAUUAUCAAGUUGGGUUCUACCCAUAGGAUGCUCCAUGGAUGCUCCAUGGGAGUUACAAACCCAUGGGUCAUGGAAAUGAAGAGUCAUGACACAUUAGGGUUUACAUGGUGUAACCCUAGAUGUGUCAACACUAUAUAAGAGUCCCAUUCUCCAUGAAAUCGGCUACACAUAAGAAACUAGAGGGCUUGGCCGAUUUCAAGUAGUGUGUAUUCUCUCAAAAGUCUUUCCAAGAGCAUUUGGUGUUGUGUGAAGCAUUUGAGGAAUCACACUUGGGGUGCUAGGCUCACAAGGUUUCAAGGAACAUAAGCAAGUUCAAGGUAAGUUAUUCUAUCUUUCAUUCAAGUUAAAAUUGUUCCCCAUGUAUGCUAGAUAGGAAUAUAACCUUGGAAUUCAACUUUGCAUGAUAAUUAGACAAACAUAGAUCCAAGGUUAUUAGGGUUGCAUGUACACUUAGGAAGUGUUAGAAUGCUCAAAACCCAUCAAUUUUACCCUAAGAGUAGUUAUCAGUGUCUGAUUAAGUGUUUUAUGGAUUUACAGUCGGAGGACCGCCGGAGCAGCAGUC